rnacentral:lncRNA from 1 species
GAACAGUGCAUUUCCGUCUGUUGGGCUUGGGCCUGCGUCUCUUUCUCUUCUAAUUCUUUUUCUUGCUCGCGAUCUCUCUCGAAACUCACCGAAUCAUCUCUAAUUCUUUUUCUGUUGUGCUCUUUUCUGAAGUUUCGAGAGCAUCAAUUCUGAUUACUUUCCAGAAAAUCAAAGAGCCCAAGCCAAAAAGGAAAAGAGAGAAGCCGAAGCAAAUGAGGAUAGAGAUCAUUUUCUGCGGUCUUUUGGUGAUUUUUUUUAAUCGGUGAGUGUUUCUCUUGAAUCUCGGUGUUGGGUUUUUGUUUGAAUUCGUUUUUCUUGAUAUCGAUUGCAGUGGUAGCGGGUUGUGAUCGGUACGUUUUCCAGUCCAGUGCCCCUCAGUUUCUCCUUUCCACCAUUUUCCAGGUACUCUUCCUCUCCCUGUAAUCUGAGUUUUGUGCAAGUUGUUUUUGCUGAUAAUACGAUUGCAUGUGUUGUUGUCUUUCACUGAUAUUAUCAAGAAAAUCAUCUAUUUUUGUUUAUAAAUUCAAAGUUAUGGAGUUUAAUUUCUGCCAUUUAGUAUUAAUUAAUUUUUAAGUCUGCAAACAUUGGUAAUACUGAGAAAGCUACAUCUCCCAAUCUGACAGUUAUACGCAUGUCAAAUGAGAAUGUAUAUACAACGCCUGAUCAGUGCCCACUUGCAAUUUAGUUGUAUUUCAUGUACUUGCUCAUAAUUUAUUUUGAUCCUUAUUUUGAUUUGGAGGUUUAAGAAAGGGGGAGUUCGUAGGAAGUUGCACAUUUUAUUGUUGAGAUUAUAAUGUUCAGUGGUUGAGAUUAUGAGAUUAUUUUUUCAGGUGGACAAAUUUCAUGUUCAGUGGUUGCUUAAUUUUCUUUUAGUGUUGGAUGCAUUUCCGUGAAAUUUUUUCUGACUUUCCUUAUAUAUUCUUUGAUUUCUUAGUUUAUGGGUCAACCUCUUGAACUUGCUUUUUGGUGUUCUGGUUUUUGAACUAAAGAAGUUAGCUGAAUUGGGCAAGAGUUUAAGGGAAGACUAUCAAGAGCUUUCAAUAGGUAGGUUUCUGUGUAUAGACAUGUUGUCUUAGAAAAUGAAUUGCCCUAUUAUGAACAAUGCUGAUAAUUUUUUUGUUGCCCACUGGCGUGUCGGAUUUUAGGUCUUUGCUAAUUCAAUUAAUCUGCUGUCCUAUGUCUUGGAUAUUCAUUCAGUACAUGUAAUUAUGUUUUCACUUGGCUUUAGGAUGUCAAAUUUCACUAUAUUUAUUGAUAAUCAACAGGCAGAGUACCGAGAAAAAAGGCAGACUUAAUCAUGCCAGAAGAUAUACCUUGACCAUUUUGAAGGUACAGCAUAUGAUAUGUUAUCUUUUCUUUGCUGAUAUUGUGCAUCAUAUUGGAUUUAACUUUAUUGUGCAUCAUAUUGGAUGUAAGUUUUGAUUCUUUAUGUCUUAAAAAUAUGUAUCUUUCGGUGGCAUGUGAGGAAAAAGGAAAGGUAAAUAAGAAAAAACUAAUUUUUCUGUUAUCCUUUUAGACUUUAUACCUGAAUUUUUCCGUAGGUUGAAUAUUUAACCCCUUUAUUCUAAGGUAUCUGAGCCAUUUGCAGGGUGGGGAAAUGUCUUUUUGGAUUUUAUCGGAUCGAUAUCAAUUAUGAAAUUCUUCUGCUGUCUGAGGAUUCUGAAAUUUGUUUCAGGUACAAUUAUUGUAAUAGUGAAUAAGGAAGCCUUCAAGCUACAAAGUUUACUGCUCUGUAAGCAUAACAUUUCUUUGCUGCACUUUACUAUACCAAUGAUGCAAUUUACAUGCAUAUGUUGCAUGUAUGCCUGUCAUAGCCUACAUGAUGGAACAGCUACACAUCAAAUGAAGCUGACGGGUAUGUGCUCAUUGCAAUUAGGACAUUGAUUUUUGUGUAUAAGACCACAUUAGUUGCAAGGACUAUUUCUCAUUCCUUUUUUUCAUUUAAUUGUUAAUAGUCUCGAAAACGAACCAAAUAGGCAAAUAUUACUGCAUGUGGAUGUUGUGUAGCAAAGUAAACAUUACAGCAACUGCCUCAGGUGAACAUAACUUCACCUGUCUAAUUUCUGUUCCUAUCCAUGACUACCACCGACUGCCUUUUAAGCUUGCUAAGUCAACAAUUUGAAAUAAUGAUAACUGACAUGGGGGUCAUAUGAUGAAAGGGCCUAUGAGUUUAGUCCCCUUCAAACUCCAAUUCCUUUACUUUCCUUUACCUUCAGUUUGUUGUGUGCUGUGAAUUUUGAGGUCAAGAAAUCGCUUUGCUUUCAACAAAUUUGCUGUUAAGUUUUACUUCUUCAAAUACUUUUUUUUUAGGAAGUAAAAUGAAGCUUCUCAUAUCUUUUUUGGUGAGUAGUAGUUUAAAAAUGAUGUUUCUCAUACAUGCAUAGCUUCUCAUCCAUGCAUAUCAGACUUUGCUAAAAGUAGUAGUCUACAUGUUAUAUGGUUGUCUGGUCUGUAUGCAUAUUAUUUAAUACUUGGAGAUCGGAUUAGAGACUAGCUCUUGCAAGACAAUAGUUGUGUUGCAUUCUUUUUUUGAAAUAUCUAUUAAAGUUGAUAUAUGAUUCUCUUUUUUUAAUUAUGUCAGUUUCUAAGGCAUAACUGAGCGAUGCUGAAGCAUAUUUCCGUCAUGCAAAAACAAAGGUAUGCUGCUACUCUAUUGAUAUAAGUUGUUGUUUGUCACUCUAUCUAAAUGUACUGAGGCAUAGUAUGAUGUUUUCAGAUAAUGAUGAAAAGGGUUGGAUGCAUUAAACCAGAGCCAUGGAAAUGAUUUGAAUGGAUCCCUGCAAGUAUGCUAUCAAGUAUUUGAAUGGUUUGGUUGGAUUCUGUGUUUGAUGCUGGAUAUUUUCCUGGUUUUGUAGAUCGUGGUCAAGGUUUGUUGAUCAGGUUAGGCGACCCUUUUUGGUUUAAUGAAGGAUGUUUUUUAAAAAGAAAAAUUUAAUGGUAGUUUGGAUUUACAAUUCAAGACCCAUGCAAUUGUGUUUCUUCUCAGGUUUACAAUUCAAGACCCAUGAGCUUUUCAAGAAAUCAGUCACAAGGUAUCUUCAAGGAUUAGUAAUGUUUAAGCCAUUUUGAAUCAUGAUAUUGCACUUCAGUUUUUUAUUUGUAGUGAAAUUUGUGGAUGCCUCUUUUCUCUGUUAUUUGAAAUUAUAUGAAUUGGUUGGAUCAAUGGUCAUAUCACAGUUGUGCCAUUCAUAUACUGAUACUUACAAGUGACAUCGAACUCAUGAUUUGUAUUAUGCUCAGGUAGUCUGACCUUCAUGAACUAAAUAUGCACAAAUUGAAUUGACAGUAAAUUGAGUGUAAUGAAAAUUUUGCAUAGGAUGAUUUUGCACGCUCUGGGCAUCUUUUUAAAUGACAAAUAUUACAGCUGCUUUUGUAUUUCUUGCUGACUUUUGAUCGAGCACUUACUAAUUGAAAUGACAUAGUAUUGAACCAAUCAAAACAACUAUUUGAAGGAAAAAAGAUAACUUAAGGGAUGUGACUCAGGCUUAGUUUCAAUUCCUUCAGUCCCUUUAUAUAUGAGGUUGUUUUUGAAAAAUAGGGAUAGACUAAUAAAUGACAGUCAAAUCCCAGACAUGCAAAGGCAUCAUGAUCAUGAGCUAAGCGCCUGAGCUUUAAGUUUAUAUUUAUAACAUGGGAGAGUAUAACAUAUAGGCCUUUUGGCAUGAAGAUUUCUUUAUUAAUGUUAACUUUGGUUUCAUUCUUCAACAGGUCACUAGAGUGUACAAGGAAAAAGAGCAUGCUGAGAUUGAACUUACUGUGAGUUUACUGCUCUGAAUAAUGUAUAUCUGAUCAUGAAAAUGCACCUCCAUGAAAAAGUACUUAGGGUUAAUUCAUUGAAGACUAUAUUUGGUUUUUGUUGGUCAGGGCAUACCGUCUAAAAAAGAAACAAACAUCAUAUAUCUAAUUGAAUCAGGUAUUAAUAAAAUUUUUCUUUCCGAUAACAAAAGGAAAAAGAACUGAAGCAUGGACGGUAAAGGUUGAAACAACAUUCGUUAAGGGAAUUUAAUGCACCCCCAAUAAAACUAAAGCCAGUUGGAGAAUUUUUAAGCAAGAUUCAGGUUUAUGGGCUUCCAUUUAUUCUGAAAAAUAUCUUAAUGAUUGCUCUAUUAUUGAUCAAAAUUACAUUGCUCCUGCUGAUUGUUCUUCUACUUGGAGGAGUAUAGCUUAUGGUGCUAAAUUGAUGAGAAGUAAUUUAUCUUGGCGCAUUGGUGAUGGCAAGAUGGUCAAAUUCUGGUCUGAUACUUGGGUUUUGUCUGUGCCUCUUCUUCAGUUUGCUUUACCUCAUGCUGUCAUUAACUUGAGCUCUACUGUUUGUGAUUUUUGGUGUGAUACUGGGUGGAAUAUUGAAAUGCUUUCUGAUGUAGUUCCUCCUGAAGUUGUUAAUCAAAUUAUCAGCUUCCCUACUGGUUUUGAAGAUAGUGGUAAUGAUCAACUAAUUUGGAAGGCUACUUCUAAUGGAGUCUUUUCUGUCAAGUCUGCUUAUAUCUCUUCGUUUGAUAUGGCUGAGCCUCAACAUCAUUAUUGGAAAGUUGUUUGGAAGCUCAACUGCCUUCCUAAGUUAAAGACCUUUUUCUGGACUGUGCUUCACAAAAAAAUCCUUACUAAUGUUCAGAGAGUUAGAAGAAGAUUUACUACCUCUGCAGUUUGUCCCAUUUGCAACUCUGCUGAUGAGAGCUUACAUUCAGAGACUGUUACAGGUCUAAAGAGGUUUGGAAAUCUAUUUGCCCCUCUUCUCAUAUUUCUAACUCGUUUAUCUUGGGCUGGGAUAAUCUGGAUUUCUGCUCAAUUGUUUUGUCAAUCCAAGGUCAAGAAUGGUAUCAAAUGGUGCAACCUCUUUGUCUUUGUGUGCUGGUUCUUAUGGAAAUGGAGAAAUAAAAUUGUCUUUGAUUCUAGUUUUGUUAUGCCUGGAGAUCCUGCUUUAGUCAUUUGGAACUAUGUUGAGGAAUGGACUAGUGCUCAGUCUAAUCCAAGCAGUAGCAAUAUGUUCAAUGUCACUUAUCUUUCUUGGUUAAGACCUCCUGCAAAUUGUUUGAAGUUGAACAUUGAUGGUACUAGAAGUUCCUCUUCUGGAAAAAUUGGGGCUGGUGGGGUGCUGAGAGAUCAUGCUGGUAAUUGGAUCUUUGGUUGUCAGAUUAAUUUGGGGGUUGGUGAGGUUUUAUAUGCUGAAGCUUGGGGUUUGCUUUUUGGCCUGAAGCUGGUUGCUAAAUUUUAUUGUUCUGAUCUGGAGGUUGAGUCUGACUCUGCAGUUUUAGUGCAGCUUAUGCAGAAGAGGAGCUUUGAGUUGCACCCUCUUGGGUCUCUUCUCUCUGCUUGUUCUUCUUUUAUGUCCAAAAUGCCGAAUGUUAAGCUCUCUCAUAUUUUCAGAGAAUGCAAUAUGGUGGCUGACUCCCUUGCUAAAUGCAGCAUCACUCAUGAUCUUGGUCUUGUCACUUUCAACAGCCCUCCUGUGCAUGCUGUCCAGGCCUACCUUGAUGAUCUUGAUGGUGUAGUUAGAGCUAGAAGGACUGGAGUCUGUUCCAGUUCUUAGUCUUUUCUGUUUUUGUGUUUGGGUCUUUUAGGCCCCUCUUGUAAACAAAAAAAAAAAAGGGUUGAAACAACAUUCGUUAAGGGAAUUUAAUGCACCCCCAAUAAAACUGAAGCAUAAGAUGCAUUGUGUUCUCACUCUAAACAUAUAAAAAAUGACAAUUUCACUAAAGAAGAAGAAAUUUCAGAAAGAAAGAUUAAAACGGUAGCCAACAAUUUUUCUCAAACUCAACAAUUUUUCACAACUUUAUUUUGUUAUAAGAGAAUUAGAUUUAUUGUUUAUUUGUGAUUUUGAUGGUAGUUUUCCUUUAUUUUCAGUUCCUGCUUGAAAACAAAGAACUUGGUUCUGCUGUUUCUGUAGAUUUCUUGAAGUUUUGAACAAGCUGAGGUUCAUAGUUAUGUGCUACUUCUGCAUUCAAGAAGCUUAUUCAUUAAGGUACUACACUAUCUCUUAUUGCUCUUUAAAAAGCCUUCAUUAUCCUCUCAAUUAUCCAAAAGUGUAUCCAAUAACCUGUGUCCAUUGGUUUUGACUUGGUUGUAUCUAUAAUUUAAACUAUGUUUCUUGCAAAGCAUACUAUUAGAUCUUUUGUAUUGCAUCUGUAUCUAACACAAAUCAUGUAUAUUCAGGAUACAGAUGCGUCAUUUGUCUCAACAGCUCAACUUUAUACUACAUAUACAUAGUCAACGAUGUACUACAUUAAUAUACUCAUCUUCGUAGAACAAUGAGCUUAAUCAAAUAUCUGAACUGAUUCUAUAUUACUAGAACAAUUAGCUUAAUCAAAUCUCUGAACUGAUUCUUACUGAGAUGAAAGAAAAAAUUGAAAGCAUUUGUAUUCUUCUGGUGUACAGAGGUUAUAUCCAUAUAUACGAAAUCUAUGCUCUCAUGGCCAGAAAAAGAGCAGUAUAGUUGUUACAGCUGUAAGUUUGUAUUGUGAAUAUACGUUGUGAAAAGUUAAUAAAUUUAAGCAGUAUCUUUACUGAAGUAGCACAGUUUUCUAUUUUGUUUUCAUGUGUUGCUCACUCUAAAUGUGAUACAUAUUCGAGAAACGAGUUAGAGUUUGUGCUUUUCUACAAGCCGUGUCCCAGUUCCUAAACUCCUUAAUGAAAGAACUCCAUAUACAUACACACAUAUGGAUAUAUAUCUACCAUCACAGUAGCUCGCUAAAGGAACUCAGGAAAUAUGUAUAGCAUUGUUGAACUUCUUAGUUUCAAUAAUGCUGAUUGCUGGAUUUGGUUGUUUGAUGAUUAGGAUGUUCCACGUAUGUACUUUUAAAACAUGCUCAUGCUAAUUUUGAUGUAAGGCUAAUGUCGUCACAUUUUUGGGCUUUUAUAUAGUAGAAAAGCUAGCUUUGUGAUUCAUCUGUUAUUCAUUGCUGUUUAGUUCUUAAGAAGUAGUAAAUUGGUUUUACUUUUGAUAUUGAUUGAGAUUUUAUUGAUUUGUAGCCAAUGACAGAAAUGAGUGUAGAGGCACCUUCUCAGCUUAAAAAGGCUGAGGGCUGUGUGGUAAGUGAUUCUGAACUUAUGCAUUACCAAUUGUAUAGCUCAAUUGGCUUACAAGUUUGAGUUGCAAAUAGAAUGUCGGAAGUUUGAGUUUGGUCUUUUCUGAUUUAUUAAUGUGAUGAACUGCGAUUAAUGAUCUCUUAUGCUAAAUUAUCUUCUGGUGAUUGUGCAGUCGGGAGUAGUUGAGGUUCACGAUGUAUGUUAAAGAAACAUAUCGGCUUGCUGUUGUUACAGUUGUAGUUAGCCAAAUGGUAUGCAAAUUGUAUAUAUUGCCUCUGAUUGCUGUGGCUAGGUCUGCUGACUGUUGUUGAAUAUUUUUGGCAUAUAUGAAUGUUUCCAGGUGCUUUUUCACUCUACAGAAGUUCAAGGGAAGUGCACUUCACAUCCGUUCAAAUUUAGUGGCUCAGAUUUGAAGGAUUUAUGUUUCAUGGAAAUUAUGUGACAUGUCUGAUAUUGACUAAAAUUUCACUAACUGGUUUCUCUUUAAAAUUAAUUCAGUAGGAUGAUGAUGAAUAUGCUUUGGGGGAAGAAAAUGAAACUCCUUAUGAAUGAUAUAAUGCCAAGUUGAUAAGUUAAUCAAUGAUCAGCUGAUCAAACUCUUAAUUCAAUUCAGAAUUCAGAUCUUCAUGCAAAUGCUUUUGAUUUUACAAAUGCUAUU